AGUAACGCGUGAGUAACCUGCCUUUCAGAGGGGGAGUAACGUUCUGAAAAGAAACGCUAAUACCGCAUGAGACUACAGAGCUGCAUGGCUCAGUGGUCAAAGGAGCAAUCCGCUGAAAGAUGGACUCGCGUCCGAUUAGCCAGUUGGCGGGGUAACGGCCCACCAAAGCGACGAUCGGUAGCCGGACUGAGAGGUUGAACGGCCACAUUGGGACUGAGACACGGCCCAGACUCCUACGGGAGGCAGCAUG
rnacentral:rRNA from 1 species